GAUGAACGCUGGCGGCGUGCUUAACACAUGCAAGUCGAACGGUGAAGCAGAGCUUGCUCUGUGGAUCAGUGGCGAACGGGUGAGUAACACGUGAGCAAUCUGCCCCUGACUCUGGGAUAAGCGCUGGAAACGGCGUCUAAUACCGGAUAUGAGCUGCGGCCGCAUGGUCGGCAGUUGGAAAGAUUUUUCGGUCAGGGAUGAGCUCGCGGCCUAUCAGCUUGUUGGUGAGGUAAUGGCUCACCAAGGCGUCGACGGGUAGCCGGCCUGAGAGGGUGACCGGCCACACUGGGACUGAGACACGGCCCAGACUCCUACGGGAGGCAGCAGUGGGGAAUAUUGCACAAUGGGCGGAAGCCUGAUGCAGCAACGCCGCGUGAGGGAUGACGGCCUUCGGGUUGUAAACCUCUUUUAGCAGGGAAGAAGCGAAAGUGACGGUACCUGCAGAAAAAGCGCCGGCUAACUACGUGCCAGCAGCCGCCGUAA
rnacentral:rRNA from 1 species